GCUCCGAGAGAUCAUUACAAAGGACCGGUAUGAUGUAGAGGAUCGCUAUGAUAAAAUCAAAAUAGUUCAUCCUUCAGAUGAUGGUAGUAAAAAGAAUGACGACAAUGUGUACAACGUUCCAGCAGCAAGAGGACAAGAG